rnacentral:rRNA from 1 species
AUUGAACGCUAGCGGGAUGCCUUACACAUGCAAGUCGAACGGAGUGGCGAACGGGUGAGUAAUGUAUCGGAACGUGCCCAGUCGCGGGGGAUAACUACGCGAACGCGUAGCUAAUACCGCACACUAUUGGAGCGGCCGAUAUCGGAUUAGCUAGUUGGGGGGGUAACGGCUCACCAAGGCUACGAUCCGUAGCUGGUUUGAGAGGACGACCAGCCACACUGGGACUGAGACACGGCCCAGACUCCUACGGGAGGCAGCAGUGGGGAAUUUUGGACAAUGGGGGAAACCCUGAUGCAGCCAUGCCGCGUGUAGGAAGAAGGCCUUCGGGUUGUAAAGCACUUUUAGCGGGGAAGCGUUACCCGCAGAAGAAGCACCGGCUAACUACGUGCCAGCAGCCGCGGUAAUUC